GACGAACGCUGGCGGCGUGCUUAACACAUGCAAGUCGAACGGAAAGGCCCCUUUGGGGGUACUCGAGUGGCGAACGGGUGAGUAACACGUGGGUAACCUGCCCUUGACUUCGGGAUAACUUCAGGAAACUGGGGCUAAUACCGGCUAGGAAUCCUUGCUGCAUGGUGGGGGUUGGAAAGCUUCGGCGGUUUUGGAUGGACUCGCGGCUUAUCAGCUUGUUGGUGGGGUAGUGGCUUACCAAGGCUUUGACGGGUAGCCGGCCUGAGGGGGCGACCGGCCACAUUGGGACUGAGAUACGGCCCAGACUCCUACGGGAGGCAGCAGUGGGGAAUAUUGCACAAUGGGCGGAAGCCUGAUGCAGCAACGCCGCGUGCGGGAUGACGGCCUUCGGGUUGUAAACCGCUUUCAGCAGGGGCGAAGCUUGUGGUGACGGUACCUGCAGAAGAAGCACCGGCUAACUACGUG
rnacentral:rRNA from 1 species